GAUGAACGCUGGCGGCGUGCCUAAUACAUGCAAGUCGAGCGAACAGAUGAGGAGCUUGCUCCUCUAACGUUAGCGGCUGACGGGUGAGUAACACGUGGAUAACCUACCUAUAAGACUGGGAUAACUUCGUGAAACCGGAGCUAAUACCGGAUAAUAUAUUGAACGGCAUGGUUCAAUAGUGAAAGACGGUUUUGCUGUCACUUUUAGAUGGAUCCGCGCCGCAUUAGCUAGUUGGUAAGGUAACGGCUUACCAAGGCAACGAUGCGUAGCCGACCUGAGAGGAUGAUCGGCCACACUGGAACUGAGACACGGUCCAGACUCCUACGGGAGGCAGCAGUAGGGAAUCUUCCGCAAUGGGCGAAAGCCUGACGGAGCAACGCCGCGUGAGUGAUGAAGGUCUUCGGAUCGUAAAACUCUGUUACUAGGGAAGAACAAAUGUGUAAGUAACUAUGCACGUCUUGACGGUACCUAAUCAGAAAGCCACGGCUAACUACGUG
rnacentral:rRNA from 1 species